UACGUAGGGGGCAAGCGUUGUCCGGAAUCAUUGGGCGUAAAGCGCGCGUAGGCGGCUAGAUCAGUCUGCUGUAAAAGUCAAAGGCUCAACCUUUGAAAGCCGGUGGAUACUGUCUAGCUAGAGUCCGGAAGAGGCGAGUGGAAUUCCUGGUGUAGCGGUGGAAUGCGCAGAUAUCAGGAGGAACACCAACGGCGAAGGCAGCUCGCUGGGACGGUACUGACGCUGAGACGCGAAAGCGUGGGGAGCAAACAGG
rnacentral:rRNA from 1 species